CAGCAGCCGCGGUAAUACGGAGGAUCCGAGCGUUAUCCGGAAUUAUUGGGUUUAAAGGGUGCGUAGGCGGACAGAUAAGUCAGUGGUGAAAGACGGUGGCUCAACCAUCGCAGUGCCGUUGAUACUGUUUAUCUUGAAUAUGGAUGAGGUAGGCGGAAUGUGGCAAGUAGCGGUGAAAUGCAUAGAUAUGCCACAGAACACCGAUUGCGAAGGCAGCUUACCAAGGCAAAAUUGACGCUGAGGCACGAAAGCGUGGGGAUCGAACAGGAUUAGAUACCCCUGUAGUCCCUGUCUCUUAUAC
rnacentral:rRNA from 1 species